UGGUAACGAAAGGCGAUGGUCUGAAAACGGCGACUUGUGAUUGAUUUUUUUCUUCUAGGGGGUACUUAUAAAAAAAAAUUGAGCGAAAGGAGGUAUUUAUAAAAAAAAAUUGAGGGCAAGGGGGUACUUAUAAUUGAACUGAACACACAAAGAGAACAGGGCAGGUACGAGCCAGCCCGCGAGAGGCCUAGUUUGGCUGCUGCGGCCCAAAUUUCACGCGCUAGUGCACGUGGGCUUUCCAUUUCUUCAUUGCAAAACUUAUUGCCUCUGGCUAAAUAUUUGAAUUUGCAGGGAUAAAACUCC
rnacentral:lncRNA from 1 species